CGGCGAUCUCGCGAGAGUCACGUGGCGGCGGCGGCGCGUCCCGCCCCCCGGAAGCGCGGGGAGAGGCGAGAGCGGCGCCGAAAUGGGUCUGCUUUCAGAAGAGGCAGUGCACUAGAUGUGGUGCCUGGGAGCAGGAUUAGUCAUGGCAUCAGAACUGUGUAAAACAAUCUCUGAGGCAAAGCUGGAAAGGCACAAGAACUUGUUCUUAAAUUACAGAAAUCUCCAUCACUUUCCUUUGGAGUUACUGAAAGAUGAGGGGCUACAGUACUUGGAGAGACUUUAUAUGAAAAGAAAUUCCCUGACCACACUGCCAGAAAACCUUGCACAGAAGCUUCCAAACCUCGUGGAAUUGUACCUUCAUUCAAAUAACAUAGUUGUUGUACCUGAAGCGAUUGGCUCCCUCGUUAAACUGCAGUUUCUGGACCUCAGUGAUAAUGCCCUUGAAAUUGUGUGUCCAGAGAUUGGCCGCCUCAGAUCUUUACGUCAUCUUCGCUUGGCUAACAACCAGCUGAAAUAUUUACCUGCAGAGGUUGGAGACCUGAGGGAACUGCAAACGCUGGACAUUUCAACCAAUCGUUUGAUAACGUUACCUGAAAGGCUGCAUAUGUGCCUUUCGCUGCAGUACUUGACUGCAGACCGGAACCACCUGUGGUACGUGCCCCGCCACCUGUGCCAGCUGCCGAGCCUCAAUGAGCUCUCCAUGGCUGGAAACCGCCUGGCGUUUCUGCCACUUGAUUUAGGUCGUUCUCGGGAGCUACAAUAUGUUUACGUGGAUAACAAUAUUCACCUGAAAGGCCUGCCAUCAUAUCUGUAUAAUAAAGUCAUUGGUUGCAGUGGUUGUGGUUCUCCAAUUCAAGUUUCAGAAGUGAAACUGCUCUCUUUCUCAUCGGGCCAGUUAACAGUGUUCCUGCCUGCAGAGGUGAAAUCUAUAGGGACAGAAACAGAUCAUGUGCUGCCUUUGCAAGAAUUGGCCAUGAGGACCCUCUAUAACACCUACUGCAGGUUUUUAAAAGAUUUGAACUUUCUGACUCCAAUCUCACUACCCAAAAGCCUCUUGGAAUUGCUGCACUGUCCCUUGGGACACUGCCACCGCUGCAGCCAGCCCAUGUUUACCAUUGUCUACCCAAAGCUCUUUCCCUUAAGGGAAACUCCAAUGGCAGGAUUGCAUCAAGGCAGUCGAGUGCGUCUGCAGGAUUCACAGGUCAAGUAAACGAGCCUACACAGACUUCCUGAUUUGCUGGAUAGUACAGUUAUAGAAGGGACUCAAAACUGGGAUAUGGUUCAGGGAAUAUUGCCCACAUGUAGAUAAAGAUUAAAAAUACCUCUAAGGAGGACAACUGUUAGUUUUGUGGCAUACUGCUGCUCCACCCAGUGUCUGCAGACUUUUGACCUACUGAGUUGAUAAACAUUUAAAGCUACUCAGGAGUGCUGCCAGUUUAAAGCUGCAUUAGACCUUGUAUCCCAUUGGUACUUGGAGUACUGUGUGUGUGCGCGUGUGCCAAAGCAGCAGAAGUGCCCCGUCGGGAACACUAAGAGGCACUUAAAUCCUGCCCUAUCGAAUUUGGAUGAACUGCAGAAACUUUACAGAAGUGUAAAUACCAAGCUUUUAAAAAUAUUAACUUCUCUCUCCUCCAAGACAGCAUACAAACCAAACAAAUUCACAAGCUCUGACGUCAAGAUUUCCAGUAGUUUUCAAAUGUGCCUGUCGUCAGGUUGACCCAUUGCAUUAUUUGAGGCAGUUUUCAUUCCUCUGAAGGGGGAAAAGAAAAAGGUCCAGUUAUGACAAGUCAGUUUUCACUUAUUCAGCCCCUCAUCCUCGUCAUCCCUAUACCUGGAUUCAGAUUCAUAGAUUUAAGUCUACAGAAACCCUCAAUCCCAGUGACUUUCCCAUAGAAUUUAGCUUUAUUUUCUCUCACAAUACUUUCCCCAGCAGAGUUAUCCCAGUUAUAUACCAAGCCUUUCACAGUCAACUGUGCUAUUUAAAUCCACAUAUUAAAAGCAGAUCUUUCUUUCUGGUAUCAUUAGGAGCUUCAGUGAUUUAACUGGAGUAACUAGGAUAUGUCUGGAGACUAAAGAUCCUGUUUUGGUAAGGAAGGCUGGUACUGAUGUCUACACUGAAAUUGUCUUGCUCCAGCUUGUUUGAGGGUGUCUUUUCUUUAUUUUCAUUAGUUGAGGUUUUGAUUGCUAAAAACGCUUUCCUUUUUCGUUCUUCGAGUUCUUCAGGAGGAAGACAAUUUAAGUACAAUUUUCACAUGAAGAAAAUAGUAAGAUGAUUGUCAAUAUUUAUCUAUAUUAUAUUUAUACCAUUGCAGACUAUAGAUCUGCAAAGAAUUGAUCUUUGUCUUUUUCUAGACUCAGCAUUUGGCUGAUGUGUGGAAGUGUGUCAGUGGAGUGUGUUAACCUUGGAGAAGGCUGGAAUUCUGGUAUGGGGAGGGAUGUAUAUGUCCAUGCAUAGGUGUAUUUGCGCACAUAGAUAUCUUCAAAAAAGGGCUGUAAUUUCUCUUUUUUUGGUACAUUAAUGGUAAAUUUAGCACAAAUCUCCACUCAUGAUCGUAUUUGUGGGAAUCGUUUUUUGAUGGAUCUUGUUCAUUUUAAAUAAAGGACUGAGGAUGGAAAGAAGGCCCAAAAUGUCUGCAUGACUUAAAAUUCUCUUUACACUGAAGUGGUUUAUACAAAAUUAGUCCCUCUUGAUUUGUUUUGGAAAAUAUAUAUAUAUGUAGUUUAAUACAACGUGUUCUUUUUUUAUUUUCUAUUUCUUAGGUGUAAACUAUGUGUUGAUUUAGCACAGUGUGCUACUCUGUGGUAGUUAGUUACAAGCUGAAAUAGAUACGAAUGAAACUGUUAUAAAAAUGGCAAGAUAAAGACACUUAUUUGGUAGUAUAUUAGCAUAUGUUGUGGUGAGGUGUGCAUACUUUGAAGGGAGGAGGCAUUGAAAUGUUUUCCUUUUGCCAAAGAAGCAUUUGUUCCCGCUGCAGGAUUCCUGGCAUCUCUUCAAUAAAUAGAGUAUCUUAAGAGCUUAAGAGUACCAAAAAGGCAGUUUUUGAGGGUAGAAUUUUUAGGUUGUGCUUGUUACUUGUAAAAGCUUUGCUGAUUUUAUUGGGUUGGUUUUAGAGAGUUGAAUUAGCAUUAAGAAAUGUUGAACUUAAUCCUUCAGGAAUGCAAGUAUCAUCUACUGUUUAAGAAUUGUGAAACUUUCUGAAACAAACCCCAUUUAUUAAAUCUGCUUUGCAGUAGGUGAAAGAGCCACAUCCAGGCAGACGUAGUAUAGGUUUUCUGACUCAUUUCACUGAUUUGUUUCAAUGUUGGUGUCCUCAGCAGCCCUUCCCCCUGCAGGGGGGUUUACUGCUGAAGCAGCAAAGUGAAUAUUUUCCUUUCCUUUAGUACCACCACUCAGCUGAAGAUGUAAAUUGCCUGUGUACAGCUAUGCCUGUAUCAGAAAUGUGCAAGUUAAUACAGAAUCAGUUUGUUUUGUUGGAUGGUAAGAGAAACAUGGUAGCCUAACAAAUACUAAUUUUUGAUACGAUACUUGGAUCAGGAAUUUUCAGUAUUAUUUUUACUGUGGUUUCUUCUGUCUUUGAAGGAGAUGUUUCAUUCAAAGUUUAUUUGUCCCCUCUUUGUAGCAACUUAGAGGCUUGAAAACGCAGUUUACUUCCGAGUUCAGGCUGUGAACAGUAUUUUGGAGUUAAAUCUUUUUUUUUAAAUGGCCUUAGCAUUGGUUUUAUUAAGAGUCAGAGUGGAGCUUAAUUUUAUUGUUUUUUUAAAUUAUUUAAUUUUUAUUUUCUUUCUUCUUCCCAUAUCUAUUUAUUUUUGUUGAGUUCAUAUCAGUCACUUUAUUCUUUCUACAAGUGCAGUUAAGAAGACAUUCUAGUCUGUUCUAUAAGCAGGAUGAAUCUUUAACAUUUUAAUGGAUGAUAUUUCGAGAGUGGAAUGUUCAAUGAAUAAAUGACUUCAACACAAUUGAAGCUAAAAUGUUAUACCCUAUUUUUUAUAACAAAAGGAAGAGGAAAACCAAUGUAUAGACUGAAAAUGCAGCUUAAAUUACUGUUUCUCUAGGGUUUUUUAAAUUUUUUUAUAUGGACAGUGUUUGUAUUCAUUUGUAACUUUGGGUGAUAUUGUUUUAGAUUAAAAUAAUUCCAUUCUCACUUGUCCAAAUUUUUCUCAAGUUGUUCUGCUGUAAGAUAUUUCAUAACUAGCUGACAUGAGAGCCAACUAUGCGAGCGGCAGAGGGGAAAGGGAGCUUGUUGCUUAUUGAACUGUGCAUCACUUGUUUUUCAAUAUGAGUUGUCACAAUACUUAGACUUCUCUUUAAUGUGUUUAUUUCUAGGUAAUUUUGGUUGCUUGCUCUUGUUUGUUGGGUUAGUUCACAUGGAGAUAAAUUUUUCCUUGUACUGCAAAAAAUCUAUCUCCAGCAGUUGAAAACAAUGACCCGUUUUAAAGGCUUUUUGUCAUAAAAGUAUAUCUUAACUCUUUGCUUAGGCUGGGAGCAGGAGAGGUUUCCAUUUUUUUUUCCUAGGCAUGAUAGAGAGAAAGUUGCAGGAGAGAAAUGAAAGGAAUUAAGUGUUUAACCCAUCAAUAUUGCUGUAAAAUUUUUCUGAGUGAAGAUGAACUCCUAAUGUGAUGAGGGAGCACAGGCAUAAUUUUUGUUUUAUGUUGUGAUAGCAGGCACCAUGUUAUUAAAAUUGGGACCCUACUGCUUAUAGAAAGAGCUUUUUGUUCUGCCAUAAAGGAAACCGAGGAAUCUGUCUUUGUUUAAAAAUACUUCUUGAGCGGUUUUACUGUGGACACUGUUACUUCUGGAGCACUUUUCUUGGAACCUUCCUGUUACUUUCGCGGAGGAUCAGAAACACAAAUGUCCUUUCCUGUGCAAAGAACAAGCUCCAAUAUCAAGAAGUGCGUAUUUUUCUGUUUUGGGCUGUUAAAUCUCUUGGGCUCCUACUGAAAUUUAUUACAAACCUUCUAUUUACUUCAUUGUGGUGAGGUUAAGAUCUUAAAUUGAGCAGAGCAGUUUAUUGCCAAGUUGGCUUCAAUUUUUCUAUAUCAAAUUCUGCUGAAUCCCUUUUUCUGGCAUGAAGGGAGGACGAGACUGUUGUAACACCGGUGUGGUGACAGCGUGUCAGGUUUUACUGGCAUCACAGCCACGCUGAAGACUGGAGAGUGACAAACCUUUCACUAGAGAGGAUGGCUUUUUUUUUUUUGCAGGCCAGUGUGGCCCCAUCUGUACCACUGAUAAUAGAAGAACUUUUGCCUUGAUGUCAGUGGAGGAUCAAGUUGUAAUUGAUGAGAGAGAAGAAUGUGUUUUACUAUCUUUGUAUUUCUUGCAAAAACUGGGACAGUGACACUGGAGUCCGUGCCUGCUGCUCGGCAGCCUCACUCUGCAGCUGAAUUUAUGUAAUUCCAAGACAUAACUCUCUUUACUUCUUGCCUCCCUUUUAAUGCUAUUCACGUUGUUGCAAAAUGUUAGAGUUAACUUGUGAUGGGAGAGGCUGAGUAAAUUGAAUCCAGAGUUUUUAUUACUUUUGGUAUUACAGACCUAUUUUGUAAGAGACCAAAGGUCUGGUAGAAAGAAAUGGCAAGGUUCAUGUGAAGUCUUCAUUGCUUUUGCUUUUAUGUGCCCUUCUUUGGAUUACAACUUGAACUUGGAUUGCAACUGAGUUUGUUCUGUGUCUGUUGAAAGCAUAUGUGUAUUGCUUUCUUUGCUCUGUAUUAACCAAAUGUCAAACAGUUGAAGGUGAGCUUGCUAGAUGUUUUAUUUAAAGUUAGUGGUGCAAUUUAUUGUAUGUGCUUGUUAAUAAACUAUAUUUUUUGAUAGAACUACAGUCCAUUAAGAUUAACUAAAUUCUUGCUCCCAAGGCCAUCAAACUAUGUUAGGAUGUAGCAUUUAAUUUAUAUUUUGGUUCAUUUGCAUGGUAAUUGGCUAAUAAGUCUCUUUUCCCAAGGCUGAAGAGGUGGGGUGAAGAUACUUCUUCAGACACUACCAAGCCCAAAACACCACUUCAGUUCACUUAAUCCUUUUGUCUCAGACAAGGUAGUUCAGCAAGAUCUUGCAUAAAAGGAACAAAACCCAUACAGAAACAUUAUUUUAGACCUUUUAUGGAUUGAUCAAAAGAAAAAUAACUUUCAUUAGGCUGUAUUAAGUGCCACCCUAUAGUCCAUAGAUGUGGCUGUGGUUCAUGUAUUAUUUACUAAGCAGCAUUCAGCAGUUUUUCACCCCUUGUCUAAAAGAUGUCUUAGGAACAGCGUUUCCAAAAAUAAGUAGAAAUUAAGCAUCUGUUUUUCCAGUUAUUUCAUUCCUUGCUGUGCAGCAUUUUGCUUCAGUCAAAGCUGCUACUCUGUAUUGUUCUGAUGAGUUCUUGGAGUUCGAUGCUGUCUGUACGUGUAUUGGGUGAGUACGAGCAUGUCCAUUCUCAAAUGAGACCUGUGUUGGUCAAGGUGGCUCUGAACUUCGGUUAUAAUGGAUGCCUUGAGGGGCUUAGAUACCAUUCAGACUUCCCUGAUGCUUGUUUGCUACUAAGUUGACUAUG